GCUUGCGCGUGUCCGUUGUCGCCCUCACCAGCUGCUGCGGCGGAGAACGGAGGCCAGCGCGGGGAGCGGAAGCCGGAGCCUGUCGGGAGCGACCCCGGGAAGGCCAGUCCCUCCUGCCGGAGGGAGGCGUGUUGGCGUGCGGCCGGUGGCGGGAUCGAUGGCCACCUGGUAGGCGAUGCUGCUGCGGCGGAGAAACGGAGGCCAGCGCGGGGAGCGGAAGCCGGAGCCUGUCGGGAGCGACCCCGGGAAGGCCAGUCCCUCCUGCCGGAGGGAGGCGUGUUGGCGUGCGGCCGGUGGCGGGAUCGAUGGCCACCUGGUAGGCGAUGCUGCUGCGGCGGAGAAACGGAGGCCAGCGCGGGGAGCGGAAGCCGGAGCCUGUCGGGAGCGACCCCGGGAAGGCCAGUCCCUCCUGCCGGAGGGAGGCGUGUUGGCGUGCGGCCGGUGGCGGGAUCGAUGGCCACCUGGUAGGCGAUGGUAAGCGGCAGUGGCCUGCGCCAAGGUAGCCCCCGGGGGCGGUGUGUGGCGCCCGGACCCGCACCCUCUGCUCCCGGGGGUGGAGCUGACCUGCUUGCCCGCGGUUGGGCUCGGGAGCCUGCGGGCCGCGGCCAGGAGGGAGCUGGCUGGCCGUCCCGGCGGUGGGGGCUGUGGCGGUGGCCGUCCCGCGGGUGUGCCCGUGCUCGGAUCGAUGAUGACACCCACAAACGCAUUCCUUGGAAAAUCUGAACAAAAUGAGUGAGAACUCACUACCGUCUCCUCAUCGCAAACUGAGGUCCGGCACGUGGCUCCCACAGGGGACGUCGGGGGAGGGUCCCGUUGCCUUGGCUCCCUUGGGUGCGUGCAGCCCUGGGGCGCAGGUGGGGGCAGGCAGGCCUCCGGUGGCCCGGAGGGCCAUGGGGAGAGGAGCCUUGGGGCUGGCCUCGCUCGAGGGCAGCCC
rnacentral:lncRNA from 1 species